UUUUGCAUAUCCAAAAAGCGGAGGAAAAGAAACCAACAGGGAUUGCCUCAGUAACGGCGAGUGAAGCGGCAACAGCUCAAAUUUGAAAUCUGGCCUCUUUGGGGUCCGAGUUGUAAUUUGUAGAGGAUGUUUCGGGUACCGCCUCGGUUUAAAUUUCUUGGAACAGAAUGUCAGAGAGGGUGAGAAUCCCGUCUUGGACCGGCGGUAGGGCCCAUGUGAAACUCCUUCGACGAGUCGAGUUGUUUGGGAAUGCAGCUCAAAAUGGGUGGUAAAUUUCAUCUAAAGCUAAAUAUUGGCCAGAGACCGAUAGCGCACAAGUAGAGUGAUCGAAAGAUGAAAAGAACUUUGAAAAGAGAGUUAAACAGUAUGUGAAAUUGUUGAAAGGGAAGCGCUUGCAACCAGACUUGAGCGCGGCGGUUCCCCCUUCCUUUUGGUUGGGUUACUCCGCCGUGUCCAGGCCAACAUCGGUUCUGGGGGUCGGUUAAAGGCCCGGGGAAUGUACCUACUCCUUCGGGGGUAGACUUAUAGCCCCGGGUGUCAUGCGACCACCCGGGACCGAGGAACGCGCUUCGGCUCGGAUGUUGGCGUAAUGGUUGUCAGCGACCCGUCUUGAAACCACGGACCAAAA
rnacentral:rRNA from 1 species